UGGGAGUUAUAGUCCCCCCCCCCCCCAAAGGAACUUUGUCGAGUUCUGAUCCCUAAUCACUGAUGUCUUGCAGGUUAAAGGUCCAUAAGUCCAUGAAGAUUGUCAUGAUCUGCUUGAGUCCUGUGCGGGAGAUGUCAUUUUCUGCAAGGUCAGAAAGGGAAAGCAAAGAAUUAGCAGCAGGCAAGGGAACUGAGACGUCUGCCUGGAUGUCGGCCUCAACAGAUAGAUAGACUGAAGAUGACCUCAAGUGCCAGGCUGCAUCCAAACUGGAGUUUUAUAGAGAGGCUUGUGUGCUGUGUGACCAGCUUUGUGAGUCCAAAGAUCUGUUACAGGUUAAUCAUUAACAGGUAUUUGAGAAUCUGGAUUUCCUCUAGAAAAAAAAGGAAGUUGAUAAGAGAAAGCUACUAAAUAUACAGAAGCAUGCACAACUGGUCUACCUCAGAGAGCAAUUGUCCCGUCAUUUCCUUAUGACAAGUGAUUUCAGCUAACCACGAAAAAAGGGUUCGAGCCCGGCACGCUUCGCUACUUCCAGUGGGCCAGAUUCAAGAUACACACUGGGUUUGAAGGCAACAAACAGAAGUUUAUUCAGUCUGGCACAACACUUCGGAAUUGCAAAGUUUGAGAAAAGAAAAUAUAAAAUAAAUGCAUAUUUAAUACAUUUCUGUUCAGUUGUGUUUAAUCGGAAGGGAGGUCAAUUUCACUAUAAGCAGAAAGAACAAAUGCACAGUACAGUCAAGAUGAUUAAACCAAAUUCUUUCUGAAUUUUUGUGUGCAAGUCAAGGGAGAGUUAAGAAAUCUGAAGCUGAAAUCUGAAGCAGGUCAUUAGAAGGAUAGAGCAAAGUGUUUCACCCGUUCCUCUACAUUCCAAAUCCCCUUAAACACACACACAAUAUCAAAUUUAUGUGUGCUCAUAUCCACCGUCUGGUGUCAGGAAUGUUUAGCUGCUGCUUUUAAUCUCCUUUCCUUCAAGAGUCCUCAUGGUCAAACCCAGUGGAAUCAGAGGACAGACAUCUGCCUUGAUUUCCCUGGCUCUUGAUGACUGAGCAAAUACUAAUAAUCUCAGGAAAACUUAAUGUGGACUUUUAAGGGACCUCUUGAAUGGGCUGUAAUUUAGAGAACAAUCAGAAUGACUUUCACUAAAUGUUAGAGCUAUUUUGUGGGCACAACCUGUUAUUUCCUAUGGCUUUCGCCUUAUACUUUUAAAUUAAAUAUAUUGUGGUAUAUACUAUAGUACAAAAGUACAGUUUUCAUUGUGGGUUCUCAGCUGGACUCUCUAGUACCUACUAUAACAAAGUAUCUUUAUUGUUUGUGAAGUAAAUAUAACAGUCCAAGCAAGGUUAUAUAAUAAGUAUUUUUUCAUUGUAUAUAAUGUUUAUUUCAAACAUAGUUAUAGGCCCUAUCUACAUUGCCAUAUAAUGCAGGUUGAACUGCAUUAUAAUGGUCAGUGUAGACUCAUUGUCCGUUCCUGGAAGGUGUAGGACACAAAGAUAGGCUCACACAGCUGGUGGCUAUGGAAACUUUAUUGAAUCCGCCUUGCCAAGAUGACUGCAAAAGUUUCUACUGCCCCUCUUCCACUUUUCCCCUCAGUAUAUUGGGUUGUUGCCUCCCCCCCCCACUUUCUUCCCCAUCCACACCUCCCUUUCCUUUUGUCCUUUCCCACGUUUGAAGACCAGACCCUGUCAUAAAUCAGCCUUCCCCGCCAAAUGGUCUCCUUCCUCUGUCCUCUUGUAGUGAGAUGCGAAAAGAACAGCUUUGAGGAUGCUGUUUUUUUUUUGCAUCCUGACACUCAUAUAUUGCAGAUUGAAGUGCAUUGAACUAGAUUAUAUGUGUCUUCACUGCCAUAUAAUCCAGUUCAAUGCAGUUAAUCUGCUAUCUGAAACUGAAUUAUAUGAAAGUGUAAAUGGGUCCUCUGAUAGGUGACCUUAUCAUAGUUUUCCGGGUAGAAUUUGUUCACAGAAAAUUUGCUCUUGUUUUCCUCUGAGUCCCCAUCGGCAAAUGUGGAGAAGCAACUGUAGUUCUGUUAUUAUCCAGACCAAUAACUUUACAUG
rnacentral:lncRNA from 1 species